GGCUCUUGGUGAUGUGGUCAACACCCGUGACUCUUACCCGGGAGUCUGGGGUUCAAUUCCCUCCCCGGGCCC